GAGCUAGCACAAGACCUACUCUCCACCCUUUUCCUUCCUGAUUUGAACCUCAAGAGGCCAACCUGCAUGGACUGCUUCCACAGAUCCCUUGUCCUCUGACUUACAGUUGAAUUCACCAAAUAGAAGACAUUGGAAAUGAGACCCGAGGGUUGGAGGAGGAGGAAGCCUGCAAUGUGAACACGAUGGCUGGAGCUCCGGCAGCCAUUCUGGACCAGGAGGUAGCCUUGAAGAUGGAAGCCACAUGUUGGGAUGGUGAAUCCAAAAGAUGAGGAGCCUGUAUCCCCUGUGACACCAGAACUGCCAUACCAGCCCUGGGUUCCUCCAUCUAUACUGCCUUCAUAUGGUAAAGAAAUAUUCUUGGAUCUUGUUAGGUGUCUGUUGCAGCCAAACACAAUCCCAACUGAUAUUCACUGUAAAUGAUUCCAUGGC
rnacentral:lncRNA from 1 species